rnacentral:SRP_RNA from 1 species
GCCGGGCGUGGUGGCGCACGCCUUUAAUCCCAGCACUUGGGAGGCAGAGGCAGGCGGAUUUCUGAGUUCGAGGUCAGCCUGGUCUACAAAGUGAGUUCCAGGACAGCCAGGACUACACAGAGAAACCCUGUCUCAAAAACACCAAAAAAAAAAAGAGUUUCUCUGUGUAGCCCUGGCUAUUCUGGAGCUCUCUCUGUACACUAGGCUGGCCUCGAACUCACAGAGAUCUGCAUGCCUCU